UCCCGAUAGCCUCGAACCGUACCUCAAUCACGACAAAGAUCCAACUCGAUAUCGCAAAUUCUCCGAACAAAUUUAAAUCUAGAAUCUACCCUAAACAAAAUUGAAUUGACCCCAAACAGAAUUGAAGAAGAAUAUUAACUCAACCGAGACAGAAAUUAUAAAAAGAACUGAGAAAAGAACUGUAUCGAAAUCCCAUCGAAGUCAACCCCAAUCUCAACGGAAAAUCAAACCAAAUGUUGAUUUCAGAUAAUUUCACUUACUGGUUCUGACUUUUAAUGGUGAGAAGGAUGAUUUUUGGGUCAGUGAUGGUUUAACCGACAUGUGGUAAUGGAUUUCAGCGACAUCAUCGCCAGAAAGCUUUGAUGUCGGCCGGAUCCUACAUACUUUUCCUAAUUUCUCACUGUUUCUAUUUUUGAACCUCACGAUUUUACUCUCUCUCUCUCGUGUUGCUGGGUCAAUCCUUCUCACAAUCUCACUGUUUGAGCUCUCAAUAAUCUCCCUCCCUCUCUGCGUAUAGUGGUGUAUGAGAAUUUCCCCGUGAGGUCCUAUGCAUAUAUGACGAAGAUGGUAUGGGUGUGAGGGCAGUUGUGUGAAGGGUCUCCAAAUGAUGAAGGAUCUGUGCGUAUGGUGUAUAUGGCGCGAAUCCCCCUGAAGAAGAUGCCUCUCAGUGUAUUUAUAGAGGGUCUGUGCCUCCCGUGGACCCCUCUUCCUUUUUGUUAUUGGUCCCUAUCCAAAAAUGGUCCCCCUUUUCUGUUAUUGAAUUGAAAAAUAAAGAAAUAUUCAAAGUGGUCCCCAUAUGUGAGUGGUCUUUGUAUAGUAUAUCUAAUAAAUGGAAGAUCAUGGAAUAAUCCCUGUGGGUCCCUUUUUUCCUUUUUCUUUUGUGAAUUGGUUUCAAAAUGAAAUCCAAGGUGACGGAAUAGAAGAACAUGUGGGGUAUAGUGUGAGGGGGCAUGGGGUGGUGAGGUGAAGGUAGGGGUAUGGGGUAGGGUAGGUAAAAAUGAGUAAAAGUGAUAUCGGGGAGGGACAAAACUAGGUGUAUACAUCAUGCCCCCUUUGAAUGUAAACACGAAGUGUUUUCAGACAAAGAAGUAGACAACGAGAUAAAAAUUUUUCCCGACCAUUAUUCAGAGAAACAGAAGGAAAAAGAGCAAUCGGGUCUUGACUUAGGACAUCCUACCUACCCAAGUUGUGAGGGAAUCAAGUCACGGGUAUUUCAAAGUAUUUGAAAAAGGACAAUAUCGAGUUGGAGAGUCGAGUGAGGUUCCAUCGAGGUUCCGAUCCACGACUCUGUCAUUACAUCAAAAAUGAAAAUUACCAAUUAAAACACAAAUGAAAUUACAAAAAUCCUAUCUAUAUAGCUUCUGUUGGACUCUUAACUUGAGUUUCAUUACUUUAUUCUUCAGGCGGGCUCCUGACUUGCUAUUUUUCAACUUGUUGCUUAGCUAUUAAUUGCUUUACCUCAUUUCUUUACAUUUUAUCUCUUUCCNNNNNNNNNNNNNNAAUUUCCACCUUGUUACUUGACUUUCAUUUAUUCGCCCUGUUCUUCAGGCGGGCUCCUGAAAUCACAUGAAAACUAGAAAGAAAAUUAUCACAAAUAAAAAUUAUUGUAAAGAGAAAUUUCAUUUGCCAGAAAAAUAAAGUUCCAAGAACAGAAGUUAAAUUUUGCCUCAGUUUAUCAUCAGAAGACUUUUGGGAAAGUUACAUCAUAUCUUCUUGCAUGUUUUAAUGAUGAAUCAAGACUCUAACCAAGAAAUGCAUCUCUUGAGAGUAAAAUUGAGUGAGCAAGACUAGGAAGUGCGUCUCCUAAGAAUUAAAGUGAGAAAUUCUGACUAGAAAGUGCGUCUCCUUACAAAUGACGCUUGAAUUUUCAAAAUAAGAAAGUGCGUCUCCUUACCCAUACUGCUUGAAUUACCAAAACAAGGAAGUGCGUUUCCUUACAAAUGUCGCUUGAAUUAUCAAACAAGGAAGUGUGUUUCCUUACCAAUGCUGCUUGAAUUAUCAAACAAGAAAAUGUGUUUCCUUAUCAAUGCUGCUUGAAUUACCAAACCAGGAAUGUGCAUCUCCUUACCAAUGUCUCUUGAAUUAUCAAAAUAAGGAAGUGCAUCUCCUUACCAAUGCCUCUUGAAUUACCAAAACAAGUAAGUGUGUCUCCUUACCAAUGCAUCUUGAAUUACCAAAACAAGGAAGUGCGUCUCCUUACCAAUGCCUAUUAAAUUACCAAGACAAGAAAGUGUGUCUCCUUACAAAUGCCUCUUGAAUUACCAAAACAAAGAAGUGUGUCUCCUUACCAAUACCUCUUGAAUUACCAAAACAAGGAUGUGUGUCUCCUUACAAAUAUUGCUUAAAUUGUCCAAACAAGGAAGUGCGUCUCCUAAAAAAUAUUGCUUGAAGUGCCCCAAACCAGGAAGUGUGUCUCCUUAUAAAUAUUGCUUGAAUUACUCAAACAAGUAAGUGUGUCUCCUUAAAAAUAUUGCUUGAAUUACCCAAAAAAAAAAAUUCAUCUCCUUACAAAUGUUGCUUGAAUUGCCUCUAUUUCAACAAAGAAAACUUGUCAGUUAAAAACUUAGUGGUGGCUUGCAGCACUUGGCUGUCCCGUCACCUGCUCCAGUGUUCAUUCCCUUCAUUUUGUUUCAGAUUAUUGACACUUGCCCCUGCUUUGUCGUGUCAUUGAACCAAACUCAGAUUAUUAAGCGUAACUCCAAAAUAAACACAGUAUCUCUGCUUUGCAAUGCUUCUCAGAUAAAUUCAUUAAACCUUGAUAUUUCCAUGAGUUUCUAGAUUUGCCUAUUGACAAAGCUUUUUGCAUGCCUUUUUUUGGCUCACAAUCAUGUCUCUUUCAUGUGCUGACCUUUCUGUCUUUCUUUGUGCAAUUGAAGAAGUUGGUAGCCAGUUUUAAAAUCUUUUAUCACUUAUCUUGUCAUGGACUUGACUCAAAAAUACGAGAAAAAUGACAAUGACUUUUUUUAUAUUUGGAUAACUGACUCAAAAAAAUAAAAAUAAAGAUAAAGAGAAGAAAGAAAAGACAAUGAAUGUCCCCAUGUGAAAUGAAGAAAUGAAAAAUUUGUCUAAAGUGACAAUCGACUCUAAUGAUUAUGCCAUGCAUUUGGAUUAAGCUGCCUGAUCUUUUCUUCCAAACUUCCACAAAUUGUUAUUGAGUUAAUGGUCUUGAAACUGAGUUACUUCCUUAGGUCAAUAGCAUUCAAAGACCUCAUUCGUCUAGUGACACCUUGAAGGGUUUUCGCCAACAAGCCUCUCUCAUUUUCUUUCUCCCGGCUCACCAUUGCCUUAUGAUGUCUGUGAGUUUUUUUCACCAAUGAGAUUCUCAAUUUUUCAUUUCUCUCAACUCACAGUCAUCUUACGGUGCCCGUGAGAGUUUUCACCCAUAAGACUCUCAUUUUUAUUUGUCUCAACUCACCAUUAUCUUAUAGUGCCCCUGAAGGUUUACACCGAUAACUCUUUCAUUUUCAUUUCUCUCCUAAUUCCUUACACUGAAGUUUCUGAUGCAUGCUCAGCUGGAGCCUCACUUUGAUUAGCUGGUUCAGUGGGUGACUUACUAGUCCCCUCUCCGGCAGCCAUAUCUACUUGCUUACCGGUAUUCUUGCUUCUGGUAACCGGCAUCAUUACUAUAAUAGGAGAAACAAACUGAUUCAGUGGUCAACUAUGACUUCAUAUACAAUAUAGGCUCUAUCGCACGAUCUAAGACAUAAAUAAAAGAAACAAUUUCCUAAAUGUCCAUAGCCUCCUGUUUAUAGAUGUGGUGCACAACACACCGAUAAACAAGACUCUACGUAGACACGGCUUUGUAGACUCACUAGGUCGAACCUCUAUGAUACCACUUUUGUCACGCCCCAAAAUCCCAUCGGGCCGGACUGGCACCCGAAGCCGAGAAGGCCCGGGAGAACCCGUUCAAAUACCUGUACUUUCACUUACAUGUCACCAAAAAAAUUGGACAGCACUUCGUUGCAUAUAGAAAGGUCUAAUUACCUGUAUCAGCACAACACGCACAAAUAUAUAUAUAUAAUACUUGGCCGUCGGGGCCACCACAUAUACAAAUAUAACGUUACUAUAUAAACUUCCAUGACUUUACCCUUCCUUAUGUCUACAAAGCCUCUAGGAUAUACAUGACAUAACUAGGGUCGGGACAAACCCCCGCCCACACGUGACUCAUGUACAAUAACAAAACAUAAGGAACCGACUCGGAAAGCUCCGAAGCAAACUGGAGCUCACCAACAAUAGCUGUAUGACCUGGCUCCUACUUGUGCGGUGUAUGAGUUGAGGUACCUGUGCCUGCAGCAUGAAAUGCAGGUCCCCCGUGAGGGACGUCAGUACGAAAUAUGUACUGAGUAUGUAAAGCUGUAAAUAAUCACAUAUGAUAUAGGAGCUCAAUAGAAAUCAGAAACAAGUGAAUAAGUCGUAAUAGGAGUGGACCACACUUACUAGAACUUGUGACAACCUGUACAUUGUAUUUAUUCAAUCACUUUACCUUCGUUCUUAUCGUCUUUGUAAUCAUUACUGUACUGUACUGUGACCAUUAGGAUGCCUCCAGUACAUAUCAACUGGGAUCGACCCAUGCUAGGCUUAUGCCCCUGGGAUACCACCCAUAAACACAUGAAAUAGGGAUCGACCCAUGCUAGGCUUAUGCCCCUGGGAUACCACCCGAUAAGAGAGAACUUUCAUCACUUAGUUCAAUUAAUCUUUGAGAUUGUUAUUUCGGUCGUCACCACAUUUUUGAUACCUUGAAACAAUGAUACAUCAAUAGGAACCAAGUAAUAGACCUUCUAUACAAUAACGAUGUAAUAAAGACUCAUUGGUACAUCAACAAUGUGUUUCAGAAUCAUCAAUAUCACAACAAUGAAAUAAGAGCCUUUUGGUAUAUCAAUGAAACAUUUUGACACUUUAUAGAAUGGAAACAACUUCGUUGGUAACGUAGAACAAUACAUGUUUUUGGACAACCUCGGAAUCUUACUUGAUGGAACAUUGGUGUUUUCAUGCCAAAGAACAUUGUUAGAGUAUGCUUUACAUACCUCGUUGUAGAUUCAGAUACCAAUUCAACACAACUUCCCGCCUUUACAAAUCACUUAUCUACAAUGAAAUGUUUGGCAUCUAGUAUUAGCAACCCAACACCACAAUUCUCUUCCAUAAUUCCAUACUACCAAUAUUUGCAAAACAUUCCAAAAACCAACUUGAACAAUAGGUUUAUGUGUGUAUAUGUAUAUAAUCAUCAUCUCAAUACCACAUCAUCAAUACCACAUCAUCACCCCAAAUUCCUUCACAAUUUAACAUAAUCCAACCAUGCACAAGAAUAAUCCAACAUCAUUUCCAAUCAUCUUUCAACAACAAUCAAAUAACAUACUUCUUAUGCUCACAUGCAUAUAUAUAUAUAUAUACAUAUCCAUAUAAAUAACACCAACAUAAUUUACAUCCUUACCAAAAAAAAUGGCCCUUUUGAUUUCGAAGUCCUGUUGGCACAAAUAAGGGGUGCUUCUCGAAGCCCUUGAGACGGUGAACACAACUACGGAAUCAAUUUGGAUUUUCUACGGUUGAAUCACAAGAUAAUUGGAGUUGAACUUAGGCUAGGGUUUCUUAUUCUUCAAUGAUUUGGAUGAUAAAUGGUGGAUAUAAGGCUAAGUAUAUGUAUAUAAUGACCAAUUUUCGUCCAUGAGGUGAUGGAAAAUGACCAUAUUGCCCUUAAAAAUUUAAGUAAAUCCGAAUCUGUCCAUGGUGGACUGUUUUGAUAGGCUAAAGUAAAUCGGCCAUAACUCUUUGCUCCGAUAUCGGAUUUGGGUGAAAUUGGUAUCGUUAGAAAGAUAAUUCAAAGGUAUUUCAUUUCAUAUAAAGUAGGUCACCCAGUUCGUCCUGUACAAGUAGUUAUGAUCGUUUGAAGUUGACCCUAAAAAUCUGUUUUGAGAGGCUGAAGUAAAACGAGUAUAACUCCUUACUCAGAUGUUGGAUUUGGAUGAAACCAAUUUCAUUGGAAAGAAGACUCAAAGAUCUUUCUUUUGAUAUAUGGUAGCUCAACCAGUUCAUUAUAUUGAGGGAGUUAUGAUCGUUCAAAGUUGACCCAAAAAACUGGCAGGCCUCAGUAGUUUUCCUGCACAUUUACUGUUCACAUCCCGGCCACCGUUUUAAAGUUUCGAACGUGCUCGCUUAUAUCCGAAACUUAUCCGUUUUUGGAAAUCUUUAUAUCGUUGGAAAGCUUAUUCAAUAACCUUCAUAUGGAACCAUCGACGGGAAAAUUCCGAUAUAAAUAAAGUCGAUUCCUAUACACCUAUAAUCAAACUAUACACUUGAAACCAUCUCAAAAUAAUCAAUACUCAUACUUAAACUCAUAUAUACCUACUUGAAACCAUUUCAAAAUAAUCAAUACUCAUACUUAAACUCAUAUAUACCUAACUUAGGAUCAAUACAUAUACUCCAACACAUAUAACAAUGACUAAUGCACGUAAUUAAGUACGGGGUGUUACAGUAUCUCACCCCCGAAAGAGGAGAAUCAGAUCACGCGUGAUUCUGGCAGUUUGUUCUUUUCAUUGAUUCUGAUUUUUGUUUCUUUCUUUUUCUCUUUUCUCUUUGGCAUUUUUUUUUCUGACCCUAUUUUUGACACUCUUCUCUUUUCUUUUCUUUUGGACACAUUUUUUUCUCUCGAUACUUUUCUUUUGAGUUUUACUGACUCUAUCUUGAUUCCAAAAGAGGGGUAUGAAAGAAAAUAGGACUAGAGCUCAAAUGGAGUAAACAAAGGAUGACACAAUGUUUGAAUAUCAGAAUGAAAUACCUUCUUCAUAUCAAUCCUUAAAAAUGCAAGUACAUAUCAUGCCAUAUGGAAGUGAAAGAUGAAGAUCAUCUGUGACAUCUUUUGCAACAUUAACUUUGACUGAGUUUGUGCGUCACUAUUUUUUCUGCGCUUUUCUAGCAUACAACUCCACUUUUGUUGCAUAUUCCUUACAUUGAAUGACUCAUGAUUUUGUGGAGCUGAUUUUCAUUCUGUUCACGCAGCCACUAUUUGACCUAAUUGAGAAAUGUCUUUCAAUUGAUGACCAAGUUAUUCUUGUGAUUCUCAAAACAAGUGCCUUAAUUUUUAAAGAAGGCUUCAACUUGUCAUCAAAUGUCUCAGCACUCUACCUAUUUCUUUAGAUGUUAUCUUUUACUAACUCAAACCUCUGAUUCAAUGUUCAUACUUAAACUGGAUUUCAAGAUCUGGCUGAAAAUUCCGCUAGCAUAUCAUUUCACUAGAAUCAACAUAAACUGUGAUAUGUAAAGAAAACAAACAAACAACAUAAAUUUAAAAUACAAAUGAAAAAGGGACACUCCUUUUAAUUAAAAUAAAAGAUAGGGUUUGAACAUAAUCACAAAGGGACAAAAUAAGAUAGAUCCUGAACUAUAACCCUGAAAUAAAUCAAACAACAAAAAAUAAAAUAAAACACACUACAAGACCUCUUUCUAGUAGGGAGAUGGGUGACUUCUCAAUUUUCUGGCUAUUUCCUCUUGUUCUUCUGUCACAAUGGACUUCUUGUUAAGAAAUUUUGGUGGUCAAGUUAACUUAAAAGCAGGCUCAGGAGUAUAACAAUGAUCAACAAGAGUAUUGAAUAUAGGUUCACUAGCAGCAUGGAGACGCACAAUCAUUAGGCGAGCCAGUGUAGGAGUCCCAAUAGAGGAUUGAGCAACAAGAUCACAGGCGAUAUGUGGUGAUGUGAAUGUAGCAGACUUAUGUUGAGGAGCUAGAGAAAAAGUGGUGGAAGUAUUGAGAUGCUUUUGGCUUAGAAUAGAUUUUGCGUCAUGUUGCAGCGCAUCAACAACAGUAGAAAACUGACUUUGAGAUUUUGGUGGAAAACUCGAGGUAUUUGUAGGAUCAAUAAUGGAAAAUGGAGGAGGAGGCAACCCACUGGCUCAAACUCGAUGCAUUUCUGUCAUUUGUUGUCUUAGCCUCCUAAUCUCUUGCUUCAAACUCUCAUUUUCUUGAUUCUUUGUUUGAUCCAUGAUGUCACUCUCUAUAUCUUUGUUGGACACAACUAACCCUUUGGAUUUGGUGUGAUGUGAAGGACCAGCCAGAAUGCCACAAACCAACCACCUUAAACUGACUCAACAAAAACAAAAAAAAAACAGCAAAUGUGUUAGAGUUCAAGAAGGGCGUUUACGUAUCUCACUCCCGAGAGAGGGGAAUCAGGUGUGCGUAGCUCGUGAAGUCUUGCCAAAAUGGUGGAUUAAACUCUUUUUCCUCUCCUUUUCCUUUUUCUUGAAACUUUAAAAAGAAAAAAAAUAACAAAUUGUCAAAAGAAUUGACGAAAAUCCUUUUUUGCUUUUUUCAGGUUUAACAUCCCUAUACAAAAUGAAACCUAUGAUUACCAAAGAAGAAUCUUUUUGGGUUUUCGAUUUUAAAUUUCAUACGAAAAUAAAAUUUAAACCUAUUAAAGAAAAAUCUUUUAUGGUUUUAUUUUAAAGAUGUAUAUGACAUCUACUUUAAAUGAAGAGUGAAGAAAAUAUCUUUGGAUUUUUCAUAUUUCUAUACAAAAUGAAAUCUAUGAUUACCAAAGAAUUUAUUUUUUUGGGGAUUUCUGUUUUGAAUUUCAUAUGACAAAGAAAUUUAAAAACUAUUAAAUAAAAAUAUUUUUGUAGUUUUCUUUUAAAGAUGCAUAUGGAACACCUACUCAAAAUGAAGAGUGAAGAAAAUAUUUUUGGAUUUUUGAAAUAAGAUCCCCGAACCAACAAUAGGCUGCCUACGUAUCUCACGCCCGAGAGAGGAGAAUCAGGGGUGCAUAGUUCAUCCAGAUUGGACAAUUAAGGAAUAAAAUGAACUAAGAAUUGACCUGAGAGACGGGAUUAUAGACGAACGGUAAAAAUAAAAUCUUUUUGGGGUUUUAACAGACACUUCACAUAAAAAUAACACCACUAACUAUGAAAUUAAAUUUUUUUGGUAUUUUCAUUUUAUGAAAUGUACAAAACUUUUACCAUUUUUGUUAUAAAAAGCCUCUAAAAAAUCUUUUUGAAAUUUUUUGAAUUAUGGAUGUAUGCUAAAGGAGAUAAAGGGAAAAUCUUUUAACGUUGUUUUUGUUUUUGAGUAAAUGCGUGAAAAAGGUAUGAACAUUUUUUUUGAGUUUUUGGAUUGUGAAAAAUAAAAGUCAUAAAGAACUCUAAAAACUGCGAAACUCUUUUUUUUUCGACUCACUUUUCUUUUUCUCUCUUUUUUUUUGGUCAAUUUUUCAUUACCUACACACUUUACUUCUAACACAUGUUUUCCUCAAAUCAGUUCGUCAAAUGACCAUGUUACCCUCAAAGAUGCAACACUUAGCAUGAAAGGAUGCCUUAGAGGUGAGUCUCCUACAAAGGACCAAGUGGGUCCCGCUAAGUCUCGAUAUGAUGCACAUAAGCAUGACCUAAAGGAUGAUCUACGUUGGGGUUCACUAACAAGGCUGUUCAGGGGAGCGUAUGGUCGAUAGUGGCUAUUUUGCUUUCCACCUACUCCAUACCAGCCAACGGCUCCCCCUCCUAAGAUAAGAGUGACUCAACUAUAGGUCAUGUACACAAGGACUUGUUGCAAAAAGAAUGACUCGGGUUAUGCACAUGAUCUAAAUAUAAAGCGGUAACACAAAUAAAAACUGCAAACAAGGAGAACGAAAACACACAACAACAUUAACACAAACAAUAAUCACAAACAAAAUGCCUAUACACCUAUAGUGCCAAAAUAAGUCAAUACAACUCCAAAAUAAGCUCCAAUUCUGAAAUGUCCUCAGCGGAGUCGCCAGAGCUGUCACACCCCUUUUUUAACUUGAAAAGACAUCAUUUUUAAGUUUGAAAGGGUUUUUAUUAUUAAAGUGACAAAAGAUGAAUUUAUUUCGAAAAGGACCUUUUAUAUUCAAAACUCAGAGUCGCCACUUGGCAUCAAUCGGGUGUGCCAAGUCACACUUGGAUAUCCUUUUACAAAAUAUUUUUGACUCUUUUAAACUGGUUUGCAAACACAGAUUCCGAUUAAGGAAUUCUAUUGACCGAGGGGAAGGUGUUAGACACCCCUUGAUCCCGUGGUUCGACCACGGUUACUUGGUGGAGCAUAUCAGCUAAUUUGACAUUACGAAUGUAUAAACCACAUAAAAUAAUCAAACAAAAAAAUAAAACAAAACAAAUCCAAAAUAUAGUGUCCAGUCCAAUUAUACAGUCCCUAAAUAGAAAAAUGCGAAAAUUUAAACCUACGCUAACCUACACUAUUCCUAAACUACGCUCCAACGCUUUACCUGAUGCCUCGUGCCUUCAUCAUGGAUGUCCUCCAAAUACAAAAUGCUUCGAGGCAUUCCCCGGUGAAUAAAUACAAGUGCUCAUGAGGCAUUCCCCAACUAAAAGAAUACAUUUCCAAAUGCAAGAACUAAAACCAAACCAUUCAACUCAAAUUCCACAUUCAAUCAUUCAAUAAGAAAAAUACUUAUUCCUAAAUUUUUGCCUACCCGGACCUACUUUUGCCUAUCCAUUUCAAUAUAUUAUGAUACUAUCGAGGAGUUUACAAUUAGACGCAAAGUAACAAUAACAAUAAAUCAAAACAACUAAUUUACUCAUCUUUUAUCAAAUUUCAAUCCCCCUUGAAUCCAUUAAUCAAUGAUUAACACUUGCUUCAAUUGUCAAUUCAACUUUUCAUAAUCCGAAUUCAACAUCAACCAAUAUUCAAGAUUCAAACAUCAUGAAAUCAAGCAAUAACAGAUUCACGCAUUAUCAUUUCGCCACACAAAACGUCAAAACUUAAAAUUACCCAAAGAAAGGAGAUGAGAAAUGAACCUCAAUUCAGAACUUUCGAAGAAUAUUGCUUGAUAGAAAAAGAAAUACACUCCCGAUUGCCUCGGACCGUACCUUAAUCACGACAAAGAUCCAACUCGAUAUUGCAAAUUCUCCGAACAAAUUUGAAUCUAGAAUCUAACCUAAACAAAAUUGAAUUGACCCCAAACAGAAUUGAAGAAGAAUAUUAACUCAACCAAGACAGAAAUUAUAAAAAGAACUGUAUCGAAAUCCCAUCGAAGUCAACCCCAAUCUCAACGGAAAAUCAAACCAAAUGUUGAUUUCAGAUAAUUUCACUUACUGGUUCUGACUUUUAAUGGUGAGAAGGAUGAUUUUUGGGUCAGUGAUGGUUUAACCGACAUGUGGUAAUGGAUUUUGGCGACAUCAUCGCCAAAAAGCUUUGAUGUCGGCCGGAUCCUGCAUACUUUUCCCAAUUUCUCACUGUUUCUAUUUUUGAACCUCACGAUUUUACUCUCUCUCUCUCGUGUUGCUGGGUCAAUCCCUCUCACAAUCUCACUAUUUGAGCUCUCAAUAAUCUCCCUCCCUCUCUGUGUAUAGUGGUGUAUGAGAAUUUCCCCGUGAGGUCCUAUGCGUAUAUGACGAAGAUGGUACGGGUGUGAGGGCAGUUGUGUGAAGGGUCUCCAAAUAAUGAAGGAACUGUGCGUAUGGUGUAUAUGG
rnacentral:lncRNA from 1 species